ensembl:snoRNA small nucleolar RNA, C/D box 12
AGCUGGGUAGCUGAUGACAUAACUUUAUUCCCCAUCAGAUAGGCCCUGUUGAUCUAACUGAGCUAUUACCCAGUUUUCUCUGAUACAUUGGG